AUUGAACGCUGGCGGCAGGCCUAACACAUGCAAGUCGAACGAGUGGCGGACGGGUGAGUAAUGUCUGGGAAACUGCCUGAUGGAGGGGGAUAACUACUGGAAACGGUAGCUAAUACCGCAUACCAUCGGAUGUGCCCAGAUGGGAUUAGCUAGUGGGUGGGGUAAAGGCUCACCUAGGCGACGAUCCCUAGCUGGUCUGAGAGGAUGACCAGCCACACUGGAACUGAGACACGGUCCAGACUCCUACGGGAGGCAGCAGUGGGGAAUAUUGCGCAAUGGGCGCAAGCCUGAUGCAGCCAUGCCGCGUGUAUGAAGAAGGCCUUCGGGUUGUAAAGUACUUUCGGCAGGGAGGCGUUAUCUGCAGAAGAAGCACCGGCUAACUCCGUGCCAGCAGCCGCGGUAAUUC
rnacentral:rRNA from 1 species